ACCUCCUACGGGAGGCAGCAGUAGGGAAUCUUCGGCAAUGGGCGAAAGCCUGACGCAGCGACGCCGCGUGAGGGAUGAAGGUCUUCGGAUCGUAAACCCCUGUCAGCAGGGAAGAACGGUCACUGUGCUAAUCAGCAGUGAAUUGACGGUACAUGCAAAGGAAGCACCGGCUAACUCCGUGCCAGCAGCCGCGGUAAUACGGAGGGUGCGAGCGUUAAUCGGAAUUACUGGGCGUAAAGCGCUCGUAGGCGGCAUGUCAAGUCAAGGGUGAAAUCUCCGCGCUCAACGUGGGAACUGCCUUUGAA
rnacentral:rRNA from 1 species